GCCGGCCAAAAAAGGCCAUUUUUGCCUUGAAUUUACUUAAAAUAUUGCGUUUAUGGCAGCAGUUUGAAGAUUAAAAUGACAGAAAAGCUUCAAGGUUCUCCCAUAGGACUCCUUUCUUUUUGGACUGAGCCGCUGUUGCUCGCUACUAGUACUAGAAAUAAUAGAAAAUGUUCAGAGGCCUCACCACUCCCCUCUGAAGCUCUCCUCGCCGCCACCACUGCCGGCGGCACGUUGGAAUAUCCAAUAAACGCAACAUUCUCAACAUCCAUUCCUUCUUCUUCUUUUUCUUCUU
rnacentral:misc_RNA from 1 species